GUGGGUGCUUCGGCCGCUUCCCGUGGUUCAGGGUCCCACGCCAGACCUGGACUUGGCCCCCAUCCCCUCACCUAUGACACCUACCCACCUCUCCAGUCCUGCGUCCCUCAGCCCCCUGCCCAGCCCCUCACCCUCUGCCACCUGACAUGCGCAGCUUUUCCUGAACAGACAGACCACCUCCUCUCUAAGGUCCCUGCUCCGCCAUAUGCUGCGUGCCUGCGUGGGGUCACCUUCCCAGGACACUACUCCCAUGCUUCCCCUGCUGGACUGAAGGCCUGGCUCUGGCCCCACGGCCUCAGGUGGUGGGGCAGCCCCAGCCUGGCUGCUCCCAUCACAAGCUGAGCCGGCCACCGGGUGACCCACUCCAGGAGGCCUGGCAGGGGCUUGCGCACGGGCACCCGGCUAGAGGAGGGCAGGGGCGCCUCCUGGGGGAGCCUGGGCUGGAAUCCAGAGUCCCAGGUGGAGAAAACGUGGGAGCAGCCAGCCUCAGAAGCAGCUAAUGAGGGCUGCGAGACCCAUGUCCUGUCCACCCACCCCAAGUCCACGUCAGCCUGCGCUGCCAAGGCGGCCAUGGCCCGCCGUCCCUCCCAGCGGCCGACAUUGCAACACCAUUCAGGAAUCCAUGGGCAGUUGUUCUGAUUGGACAUUCUGGGUCACAUGACUGGGAGGACAGCAUUGAAGGCGGGUUGCACCCAGCAGAGCUCGACCUUGGCCUUGAGAGGGGUGGUUUCAAGGCAGCCCCCAGGCAGGCAGCUGCCAAGGAGAGGGGUGACCUCCAGGACCUGUGUUCACACUCUGCCCUGCUCUGAGCGGUGUGGCCUCGCGGCCUCGCGUGGGCCUCCACUCUUGCCUUACGCCACCAGAGGCUCACGUGGACUUGGACCCUCACAGCACACCAGGCACUUGAGCCGUCCCAGACCCACCUGAGACCCUGCCAGCUCCUUUCCUCUCUGGGCCUCAGUGUUCCCCUCACAAAAGGGGUGUGACCAAAAGCACUGAUUCCAGAGUUUCGCAUCUCAACUGUGCAAACUGGGGCACUACAUAGACUUCUCUGGGCCUCAGUCCCCUCACCUGUAUAACAGAUCAUAAAGUUUCCACCCCAUAGAAUCAUUGCAAAAAUUCCAACGAGUCAAAUGGGUAUAAAACACGUGGCUCGAGGCUGGCACAAAGUAAAGCUUAUUGAGUUGGAUAAAUAAAAGCAGAGCGUGGUUACCCCCCAACUCGGCCAUCAAACUGUGGCAAUUUGAUGAUUUUUGCGAAAUCUGGAGAACACUCGUUCCAAAACGUAAUCCCUGUUGUUCAUUGGUUCAGUGACUAAACAGAUCCUGGAAGGAAAUGUUAGACUCGCCACCCCAAGUGGAAAACCGGAGUCACUUCCCACGGGGAGAAGGUCGUUAUGAAGAUGAACACAGCCAAUGUUCACCGUGCGUGGGGCUGUCUGCCAAGCAGCCGCCAGCGUCAACUCGCUCGUCCCCACGGCAACCCUGUGAGAGGGACACCACUCUAUCAUCGUCACGUAUGUGGGGAAACUGAGGCAGAGCUGUCGGAAGUCACUUGACAGGUCCCAGAUGGAAAGCAGCAGGCCCCAAGACACAGCUGGAGCAGAGGAACGCACAGAAGAACUCCCCAGGGAGACGGACACGUGGAGAGGCAGGGGGGCCACAGCAGCACCAGCCCGAGACGUCCCCUUGGAUGGUCAGAGGACCAAGGAGACCCAGAAGAAUGACGUUCUCACUGUGUGAUUUGCUGCUCUUUAAGGCCAUGCCUGCGCCAGAUGACUCUGCAGCAUGCAGGCUACGCCUCUGAAGCAGGAGGGGACCCAGAAGCACUGACCAUUUCUACCUCCCCUCCCUGGCAUUUUUAGCUUAGGACACUGUCCAAACUCAAGGCGAGUCAAUGAGGGGAUUAAGAAAGGCUUUAGUGCCCAUUGAUAAAAAUGGGCAAAAUCCUGGAAUUAAAUACACCCGUGUAUCACUUAGUAACAGGGAUGCAUCCUGAGAAAAGUAGUCGUAAGUGAUCGAGUGGAUGCUGGAACAUCAGAGUGUGUGCUCACGUAAACUAAGACAGCUCUGACAUCACCAGGCUGCUAGCUUUCCAGUACUGUAACAAAAUACCUGAGUUGAUCAACUAAAAAAGAGAAAAGGUUUUUGGCUCACAGUUUGGGUGGUGUCAGCUCACUGUCAGGGAGACCUGUUGCUUUGGGGCCUGGGUGAGGCAGCACGUCAUGGCAGGGAGCAUGUGCAGAGCAGGCUGCUCACAAGAUGUGGGAGACAGAGAAAGAGAAAUGCUGUGGCAUCUCAUGAUCCCCUUGGAGGGCCUGAGACCACCCCCUAGGCGUCCCUCUUAAAGCCCCACCACCACCCUGUGGCACCAAGCUGGGGACCAAACCAUUGCCACCAGGGGACACUUACCAAACAAUAGCACUGAGCAAGACAGCAGAUACAUCACUGUGGUGGGGAUCAGGGCUGCCACCAAGGGAAAAGCACACAGGGAAGGGGACGGUGGGGAGCCCAGGCUGGGACCUGAGUGGACAUUUGCUCUCAUGGCUUAAAUACACUGGAGCACCCGCGAGGGCUGAGCUCCGGCUCCGUCUGCUGCGACGACCUGGAACCUCUGUCACCCAGCAUCAGGGAGCCCACCGGCCCCCCAACCCCACUUCCUCAAUAUCUCUGCCCCAGUGAGCAGGGCACUCUGGGAAGUGGACAGUCCCGAGGCCAACGCAGGACACACAGGGACGCCGCGAGCUUCAGUAUGGGCAGAACCUAAGGAGGUGGCCAGAGAAGGCCAGGGGUGCAGUGGAGACACCAGGGCCAGCUGGAGCAGCCUGAGCGCCGAGGGGCACGGAGCUUGGCCACCUGAGUGGAUCAGAGCACAGGGUGUCACACAGGACCCGCAGACGCAGCCCGGUGACAGAGAAUGAAAGCAGGGAGAGGAAGGAAGGAGGAGCCGGAGGAGGGGGGAGCCCGGGAGAAGCUCCUCCUGCUGAAGGGAAAGAAGACCCGGGUCUGUCCCAAGGCCACCGACCACAGGCAAAGCCAGCCUCUGACCUCCGGGAUGCGGGAUGGCAGUCGGUAUGUUUAUCAGAAAAUCUUUUUUUAUUUGUCUGCAGCACCUCAGUCUGGUCUCGGGGAAGCAACCUGACCAACGUCCCCAAGGCUGUGCCACCAACCAGGAAGCUGUGCCACCAACCAGGCAGCUGUGCCCUGCAGAGGUGUCAAGGUCAUGCCACAGGAAGGGGCAGAGGACGCAGCUAUCUGUUCAGAGAAAAGAAAGCAGCGCUGAGGAGCAGCUCUAUCCUGGGCAGGGCCCUGGGGGCAAGAUGAAGGCUGCUGAGGGGCAACCCAGCGCCCACGCAGGCCACCCGGCAUCGGGACUGCGUCACCAGCUGGGAUGGCUGCUCAGGGGUUCCGCUGAAGAGCCACG
rnacentral:lncRNA from 1 species